rnacentral:rRNA from 1 species
GUCCACGCCCUAAACGAUGUCUACUAGUUGUCGGGUUUAAUUAACUUGGUAACGCAGCUAACGCGUGAAGUAGACCGCCUGGGGAGUACGGUCGCAAGAUUAAACUCAAAGGAAUUGACGGGACCCGCACAAGCGGUGGAUGAUGUGGAUUAAUUCGAUGCAACGCGAAAACCUUACCUACCCUUGACAUGGACGGAAGACCGGAGAAAUUUGGGCGUGCUCGAAAGAGAGCCGUCACACAGGUGCUGCAUGGCUGUCGU